rnacentral:misc_RNA from 1 species
AACCUAGCACACCUGCGGUGUGUACCUGCGGAAGGAUCAUUACCUUUCUUCAGCGGGGACUUGUCCCUGUCUGUAUACCCAUGUCUUUUGCGUACUUAUUGUUUCCUCGGCGGGGCAACCUGCCGACUGGACACCUUAAAAAACCUUUUGUAAUUGCAAUCAGCGUCUGAAAUAAAUUUAAUUAUUUACAACUUUCAACAACGGAUCU